UGGGGAAUAUUGGACAAUGGGCGCAAGCCUGAUCCAGCCAUACCGCGUGGGUGAAGAAGGCCUUCGGGUUGUAAAGCCCUUUUGUUGGGAAAGAAAUCCUGUCGAUUAAUACUCGGUGGGGAUGACGGUAUCCAAAGAAUAAGCACCGGCUAACUUCGUGCCAGCAGCCGCGGUAAUACGAAGGGUGCAAGCGUUACUCGGAAUUACUGGGCGUAAAGCGUGCGUAGGUGGUGGUUUAAGUCUGCUGUGAAAGCCCUGGGCUCAACCUGGGAAUUGCAGUGGAUACUGGGUCACUAGAGUGUGUUAGAGGGAUGCGGAAUUUCUGGUGUAGCAGUGAAAUGCGUAGAGAUCAGAAGGAACAUCCGUGGCGAAGGCGGCAUCCUGGGCCAACACUGACACUGAGGCACGAAAGCGUGGGGAGCAAACAGG
rnacentral:rRNA from 1 species